GGAGGAGAUGAUCUGUCUUUCUCUGAUAUUUCCUUUAUUAUAUAAUCUUGUAUAGAACAUCACCAGGUUUGUAUUUGUUGAUAAUAUUUCAUGCAAACUGACAGCUUAUAAAGUUACAAAGGUUUGUGGCAGUUCAUUUUUAGACACUAGCUGUAACAUUGGGUUUCUGUUUCCUCUUGGGAUUGAAAUGAUGAUCUUUUUUGGUUUUCAGGUACUUUUGGAAUGAAUUUUAAGAUUUUAAUGAUCACGUUCAACAUCACGAGCAAAAGAAAGAUUUCGUAAACCUGUAAAAAACAAACAAACCCAAAAUUGGACUACAUUAUGCCAGCUGUGAGGCACGGUGGUUUAUGGAUGACCAUUUGAGCUUGUUUUGUAGGCACAGGAUCUUGGCACCUUCCAAUCAUUGAGUCAGCCACGUACUUCUCUGUAUACCAAAGCAUUCUAGAGUGAAACGUGAGCCCAUUUGUCCAACAGCUCAAAGGACAACGAUCUCAAACAUAGCAACAAAUCUACAAGAGAAUUAAAAAUCUAUGUCUUAUAUCAUUGUUGUCCAAUAUAUAUUUAUAUUUGCAUGUUUAAAUAAUACUGUCACUGCUGCUUUACAGCUCUUAUUCACAUUUUUCUAGACUUAAAUUCUUCCAGAGAGAUGGCACUAAGAAAAUACAUUAUAAACUAGCACUUAGUGUACUUUGUAUCAGCUCUAAUUCAAUCCAUGGACUCAAAUCAUCUAUUCAGACUCAAAGAGAGAAACUGUAAAAUAUACUAAAUGGAAAACCAAUUAGUGGAUGCCCUAUUGGAGUAGUCAAGAACAAUCUGGUGCUUUAAAGAGCAAGGUGUACUGAGGUUUGUGCAAAUCUUUCCUGUCCGUUUCUCUCAACCUAAUUAAAAUCAUGUGUGGGCACAGGGAGAUGCAGGAUAUACAGAUGCAGAUUCUUCUCUUCUAACAUUUAGUGUCUAUCCCUGUGGUGGCAUCAGACAUGUCCUCCAACAAAUAUGUCCAGGACAAGUUAGUUCCCGGAGGCUGGCUCACCUCCAGAUCCAAGUACCAAAUUGUAACUCCUUGGAGAAUGGUCUUAUGGCACAGUUGCAAAAUGUGUCAGAAUAGCUGACAAAAAGACUGUAGCCAUUAAAAUAAUGAAACAUGAGAAACCAAAAGACCUGUUAGAAAACCAAGAUGUAAAUAUUGCUCCCUAGAAUUUCAGUUAGAAAGAUGUGUGCAGUGGAUGUAAGGACUGUGAUGAAAUGCCUAUAAAAUGUUUAUUUCUGUAAAACUAAUGUAAAAACCAUCUGUAACCUAUGUUUCUAGCUCACUGCCCUGAGAAGACUUAAUGCCUAUAAGUCCAUCAAACACAGUAUAGUUCAAUGUCUUUUAGAGACAGUGGACGUCUAUGUCUUAAGUUUGAAUAUCUCGAAAAAAGUGAAAGAAAGAAAUUUCAAGCCGCUUAGUUUAAAGGCAAUUCGUCCCAUCAUCAUGCAGGUAUGUUUAACUCCCUAAAUGUUUUGAAAAUGGACACUGAUAAAAUUUUAUCAUAACAUGACAUAUUCUUUGAUAACUUUCAGAUCGCAAGAGCUCUUAGUCACCUCAACUCUACUGGAACAAUACAUGCAGACCUGGAAUUAGAAAAUGUAAUGUUGGUGAAACAUCAACACGUGCCACACUGAAUUAAAGUAAUUGACUGUGAAACCUCAGCUGCCAAAGACCCGUCCUUACCAGUCUCCAGAGAUUAUUCUAGGGCAGAAGUCGUAGAUGUAUGGUCUCUGGGUACAUCUAGGCUGGGUACAUCUGAGUUACAUAAUGGAGACCCAAGGGCAACCCCGAGAGAAAAAGUUAGACUGUGGGCAAAACACUGCCCACUUUUUCUGCACAGAGUUAAAUUCCUGCAACAACUACCACUGACACUUGAGCAAUAUUUCCAAGUGUCUGAGGUUUGGUUCAUGGAGACAAGAGAAAUAAAGUUCUCUGGAUGACCUCUUCUAUAUCACUGAGCAUCAGGAUUAUGCAAAUAAGUCCUGCUAUGAGCACAUAAAUGUUUUUAUUACAAAGAAGACAGCGACAUCAGAUAGCGCGACAGAAGUGUGUGGGUCUCUGCACCAGCCCCCCUCUGACACCAGACAACCUGCCCAACAGAACUUCCCCUCCCCCCAAUUCAUCAGGCCCAAUCACUAGAAAAAUGCUGAGACAUUUACAAUCAAAUCACAGUUUAAAAGAAAGCGUCUUGAAGAAGAUAUAAAGGAUAUGGGUGUGCCAGAGCUUAAAAGAAAAAUGACUGAUUGGAAAAACGCAAGCAGAAAAAUAUCAUAUCAACAUGAAAGGUCACAUCAUGACCAGAACAAAUGCCAUUAUUCAACGGGUCCAUCUUGCGCAACCAGUGGCUAUCUCGGCAAGCCAGACCAAACCUACUUUGACAGGUCAAAUAAGAGGCCCAGAGCAAACUACAAAGACGAUAAGAGCCACAUCUCCGAUAACACCCUACACUACAUCUACCACUACCUCCCUACACCCAAGAAAAUGCUAAAUAAACCAGCUGUGAUACUGGUGACUGGUCUUGAUCAGUGUUUGGGUUUUUUUUGUUUGUUUGUUUUUGUCACUAUCUGGACUUUUGUUUCUGUAAUUUGAGGUCAUCACAUUUUUUAAUUUACUAUUUUUAUAUCUUAUAAGCACAGAAGAGCACCUUUUAAAUUUCAGUUGUUUUAUUUUAUCUUUUGUUUGUUAAAGGUCUAGUAGUAUUAAUCACAGAAAGAGGCUUACUGUCACAAUAUUAUCAUUUGUGAAAAACCUCUGUGUGCAGCUGAUGGCUAAAAUGUUUUUUCCUUUGAUUCAGAUUUAUUGUAUUCAAAGUAGAAUAGAAAUAUUGAAUAACUAUACCAGUGCAAGUUUAGGCACUGUAUGGUUGAAAAUAACAUUUGUUUUUGGAGGUUAUUUAAAUAUAUUGUGAUAUAUAUCGUGUAUCAUGAUAUAGCCAAAAUAUAUUGUGAAAACGUGCCAAAUACAUUAUUCUGCUAUUGACUGUUGUUUUAAGCUUCUUGUACCCCAGAUAGUGAGCAUGGACUCUGCUACAGUAGUCAGCUGGUGUCUGAUCCAAGCAUGAAACACUUGAAUGGUCUUCAUAUUGUAUGUGCUAUGUGGCAGAAAGCUAUAUUACAGUGUCAAAACCCCCAAAAAUGCACAGGUUGAGCAAAAUACAAGAACUCAAAUGGAGUCUGAGGUUUUGUUUUUAAUUAAUUAACUAAUUAAUUGAUUUUAAACUUUAUUUUGAGAAAUUUGUUGUCCAA